rnacentral:rRNA from 1 species
UGGCGGACGGGUGAGUAACGCGUGGAAAACCUGCCGUAUACUGGGGGAUAACACUUAGAAAUAGGUGCUAAUACCGCAUAAGCGCACAGCUUCGCAUGAAACGGUGUGAAAAACUCUGGUGGUAUACGAUGGUUCCGCGUCUGAUUAGCUAGUUGGUGGGGUAAUGGCCUACCAAGGCAACGAUCAGUAGCCGGCCUGAGAGGGUGAACGGCCACAUUGGGACUGAGACACGGCCCAAACUCCUACGGAAGGCAGCAG